rnacentral:rRNA from 1 species
GACGAACGCUGGCGGCGUGCCUAAUACAUGCAAGUAGAACGCUGAAGGAGGAGCUUGCUUCUCUGGAUGAGUUGCGAACGGGUGAGUAACGCGUAGGUAACCUGCCUGGUAGCGGGGGAUAACUAUUGGAAACGAUAGCUAAUACCGCAUAAGAGUAGAUGUUGCAUGACAUUUGCUUAAAAGGUGCAAUUGCAUCACUACCAGAUGGACCUGCGUUGUAUUAGCUAGUUGGUGGGGUAACGGCUCACCAAGGCGACGAUACAUAGCCGACCUGAGAGGGUGAUCGGCCACACUGGGACUGAGACACGGCCCAGACUCCUACGGGAGGCAGCAGUAGGGAAUCUUCGGCAAUGGACGGAAGUCUGACCGAGCAACGCCGCGUGAGUGAAGAAGGGUUUCGGAUCGUAAAGCUCUGUUGUAAGAGGAGAACGAGUGUGAGAGUGGAAAGUUCACACUGUGACGGUAUCUUACCAGAAAGGGACGGCUAACUACGUG